GACAGAGGGUGCAAACGUUGUUCGGAAUUACUGGGCGUAAAGCGCGUGUAGGCGGCCCAGCAAGUCGGAUGUGAAAGCCCUGGGCUUAACCUAGGAAGUGCAUUCGAAACUGCUGGGCUUGAGUUCUGGAGAGGAAGGCGGAAUUCUCGGUGUAGAGGUGAAAUUCGUAGAUAUCGAGAGGAACACCGGUGGCGAAGGCGGCCUUCUGGACAGUGACUGACGCUGAGACGCGAAAGCGUGGGGAGCGAACAGG
rnacentral:rRNA from 1 species